rfam:Stegodyphus mimosarum contig114779, whole genome shotgun sequence.
GCCUUCGUGGUGUAGGGGUCAGCACGCUCGACGCGUAACUCAGAGGUCCGUGGUUCGAUUCCCGGCGAAGGCG